AAAAUAUAGGUAUUUGCCCUUUAGAGGAGAAUACCAUCGAGAAAUCGGUGUUAAUACUGCAUAAGCCCAGAGAUGGGGAAAGGUGGCCUCAAAGCUACCGCUAAAGGAUGAGUCUGUAACCUAUUAGCUAGUUGGUGGGGUAAGAGCCUACCAAGGCAAAGAUGGGUAACCGGCCUGAGAGGGUGUACGGUCACACUGGAACUGAGACACGGUCCAGACUCCUACGGGAGGCAGCAGUGGGGGAUAUUGCACAAUGGGCGCAAGCCUGAUGCAGCGACGCCGCGUGGAGGAUGAAGGUUUUCGGAUUGUAAACUCCUGUUACGUGGGAAAAAA
rnacentral:rRNA from 1 species